UGAUUGCUUGAUUGAAUAUGUGGCACUUAUGUGCAAGUUAUCCAUGUAUCCGAAUUAUAUUCCGAUGUGUUCAACGGGUAAAGUUCUACUCAAAUGGAGGAAAAUUUCGAGAUGUAAAGAGACGUAUUGGUAAGUUCAUGUGUAAAUAAUGUAGCAUAAUUGUUAUUUUUAAGUUAUUGAUAUUAAUUAUGUGUUAUGCUGAAUUUUAUUAUGAAAUUUAUGCUUUGUGGUUAAUUUCAAAUAAUAUGUAAAUUAUGUGAA